CUCGUGCCAGCACUGGUACAUGAGUUGGUAGACAUCGUUGGAAGCUUUGUGAGGUCGGUAGAGACGGUGACCCCUGGUAAUCUCAUCCACUACAUCGACAUUCGACCGCCCAUCAAACGGCGUCUUCCCCUCAGUGAACACCUCCCACAUCAACACACCUGCAAACACACAUCAGAACACUCACAGAGAAAUCAGAACACUCACAGAGAAAUCAGAACGCUCACAGAGAAAUCAGAAUGCUCACAGAGAAAUCAGAACGCUCACAGAGAAAUCAGAACACUCACAGAGAAAUCAGAACGCUCACAGAGAAAUCAGAACACUCACAGAGAAAUCAGAACACUCACAGAGAAAUCAGAACACUCACAGAGAAAUCAGAACGCUCACAGAGAAAUCAGAACACUCACAGAGAAAUCAGAACACUCACAGAGAAAUCAGAACACACACAGAGACAUCAGAACGCUCACAGAGAAAUCAGAACACUCACAUCAGAACACACACAGAGAAAUCAGAACACUCACAGAGACAUCAGAAAACACACAGAGACAUCAGAACACUCACAGAGAAAUCAGAACACACACAGAGACAUCAGAACACACACAGAGAAAUCAGAACACUCACAGAGAAAUCAGAACACUCACAGAGAAAUCAGAACACUCACAGAGAAAUCAGAACACACACAGAGACAUCAGAACACACACAGAGACAUCAGAACACUCACAGAGACAUCAGAACCUACACAGAGAAAUCAGAACACUCACAGAGAAAUCAGAACACACACAGAGAAAUCAGAACACUCACAGAGAAAUCAGAACACUCACAGAGAAAUCAGAACACACACAGAGACAUCAGAACACUCACAGAGAAAUCAGAACACACACAGAGACAUCAGAACACUCACAGAGAAAUCAGAACACUCACAGAGAAACCAGAACACUCACAGAGAAAUCAGAACACACACAGAGAAAUCAGAACACUCACAGAGAAAUCAGAACACACACAGAGAAAUCAGAAAACACACAGAGACAUCAGAACACACACAUCAGAACACACAC
rnacentral:lncRNA from 1 species